rnacentral:misc_RNA from 1 species
UGGCUCUCGCAUCGAUGAAGAACGCAGCGAAAUGCGAUAAGUAAUGUGAAUUGCAGAAUUCAGUGAAUCAUCGAAUCUUUGAACGCACCUUGCGCUCCUUGGUAUUCCGAGGAGCAUGCCUGUUUGAGUGUCAUUAAAUUCUCAACCCCUCCAGCUUUUGUGAGUUGUGAUGGGGCUUGGAUGUUGGGGGUUGCGGGCCUUUAUUAAUAGAGGUCGGCUCUCCUAAAAUGCAUUAGCGGAACCGUUUGCAGUCCCGUCACUAGUGUGAUAAUUAUCUACACUGUGAUGAUUGCUCUCUGACUAGUUCAGCUGCUAAUCGUCCAAUUGUGGACAACCUAAUGAACUUCUUGACCUCAAAUCAGGUAGGACUACCCGCUGA